UGGGUCUCCUCUACUUUGUUCAUCUUCAUUCUCCUUCGUUCGUUCUCCUUCGUUUUUCCGUCGUGUGCGUUUGGUUUUUACGGUAGCCUGUAGCGUGGGAUUGGUUUUUACAGUAGCCUCUUGGGUCAGUUUAAGCUUUUGAGGUAUUUUCUUCUUGUUGACGCGACUUACUGUAUUUCAUAAUUAGAAAUACAGUAUAAUGUAAUGUAAUGUUACAUUCUUUAUUAGUUCAAAUUAAAACAACGGAAGAAGGACUUUGUGUGAGUGAUCUAGUCAAAGUGGGGAAUCAAAUUUUAAGAGAAAGCCAAUAAGCAGUAGUGAGGCGUUGAGUUAGAGGCGUUGAGUUAAAGAUACUCCUCGUUAAGUUUUCUUUCAGAUGAAAUUUCUGAUGAUGCUUCUCCUCCUCUGACUUCAUCAAGUUUUCUUUUUUCAGCGUUUGAUUUAAAUAUGUCUAGGAUGUUUACUUUUAAAUUCCAUGAUUCUUGCGAAAACAUACUCUUCCUUGUGAAAUUUAUUCAAUAUUUUAACAUACUUGUUGAAUUAAAUUUCCAUUUGAAUUUUAAUUAAUUGAGUUGCUUGAUGUUAAAUUUGGUUUCGAUGACGUCGAUGUUUAAUUUGAGAUACUUUAGGUGAAUGGGCUGCUUUUAUGUUUGGUAUGAAUUCCAAAGAAUGAUUAAUAGGUAUGGUUUUGAUUUUCUCUUUGAUUUUUGUAUGGUUAUUGAGUUCAUAUUGAGUCUUAGGAAAAAUGAUAUAGUUAUUGAGUUAUCAUCCAGAAUAGUGAAAUAUAAAUUUUCGAAGCAUCUAAUAGCCAAUCAUCUAACAAAUGCAUUUGUAUACAGAGUGAAUAUAGAAUUGAAACUAUGUUAUAUAGAGAAAUUGUUGAAAUACCAUUGUAAUUUUAGAAAAUCUUGUAUAGAAAAAGUAUAAAUAUUUAAAUCUUUUUGUGGGCUCUUUAUUUUGUCAAGAACGGAGAUGACCUGUAUCGAUUUGGAAUUGAUUUUGUUUGAAAAAUUGUCUUACUUUAUUGUUAAAAAUAUGAUAAAGGUUGGUGUAGCAUGUGUUUUUCUUAGUAUUAAAAAACAAGACCUGACCCAAUUCGGUUCGGUCUAACCCGAAUGUGGGCUAGGCCUGUCGGACAGUGCAAAUUCGGGUCAGGUCGGUUUUGAAGGAAAACUGACCCGAUCCCAACACAAUUACACCCAUCAAAAGAUUAUUUAAAAGUAGGCUCGAAGCAUAUUGAAGAGAAAAAAGAAUUGUGCCAAAAGAAUUGUGCCAAAAGAAUUGUGGGUAUAAGCUGUUGAAUGCACAGUACUUGUCAAAUUGUUCUCUUGCUGGAAGUUUGUGGAACAAAAAUUGUAAGCCCUCAUUCCAUUCUCCUUACAUGUAUAUUAUUAUUCUCCAAGUUGUGAAAUACAAGUUUAAAAUUCAAGUGUAAAUUUUUAUGGGUUAAAUCAUUUUGUUAAAAUAAAAAAUAAAAAGAAAUUUUAGGAGCAAUUUUAUUUUGAUAAUGUUUUGGAAAUUUAAUAGGUGAUGGAAAGGCCAAAAUUGAAGUUGGUUUUGAGUUGAGAGCAUAAAGGUCAUCUGACAUUUUCUUUUUUUAAAAAAAAAAGAGAGAAAAGAGAAAAUAUCUCUCUUCUUCUCCUACUCCAUUCUUCCAAAAAAAAAUUUUUUUCUUUGUCUUCUCCUUCUUCUUCUCAGCCCCGACCUCCCACUCACGCCACCAUUUCUCUCGCACGUCGGUAUAACUCCGAUGACGACACACACCAUCGUCAGGUCUCCGUGCAUCAUCUCCAUCGCGUCCGACAAAACUAUCCGAUUCUUCAGCUGUUGGUCACGUCUGCGGUUUCGAUUGGUGGUGUCGCUGUUGCCACAUCUCCCCCACUCGUCGGAGUUUGUCGUCGUUUGGGGUGUCGUCGGAACUCCAAGAGAUUGUCGACGACGCCAACCAUUUCUCGCCUUUCUUUAGUAAGCUAUUUUAACGCCAAAUUGAAGGAAAAAAGCGCAUAAUCUUGGCGGAUCGAGUUAUUGACUAUGAGUGGAUCAUUUUCAAACUUUCUUUGUACAUAUACAUAUUAUUUUAUGAUAGUUGAGAAAUUACCAUGACCUAAACUUGUCAUGAUGUUUUCUUUUAUGUUUAAACAAUGUAUUUACAUAUCGUCAUUUAAAGAAUGUUUAUGACUUAGAUUUUAUAAAAGCGGGUUUCAAGUUCCUACUUUCAUUUAUACUUAAAUCGUGUGUUUAUUCAUCACGAUUUUAAGAAUGCAUAUGGCAUGAACUCUUGUAUUUCGGAACUGUGGUUGAACCCAAACUUACUAACCAAGUUUUAGAUGACAAGUAGUUUCUAAACAUUUAUUGAUUUAUAACUAGACUUGAAGGAUUGCUUAAAGUAUCUAUUGAUGGCAAAAGAUCGAAAAUGAUUUGAAAAUGUGUUUCUAACAAUGUUUGUUUUUUAAACUCGAAAUAUAUGAUUUUUAUGAAUGUUGGUGAUUACCCUUAAAGCUACGAGAAUGUGUUUCUGUAGCGCCACCUAUGGUUUUCAGGGGAUUCUGGGGCUGAAAAAGGCCGUGACUGGAGAUCCGGGAACCUGAACCUAGGUGAGGAUAUGGAUAGAGGAUUGUGAUAUGGCUUUGGGCCUAGCUUAACCCAUGGUGGGUGGCUCUAUGUGCACAUAGGAGCGGUAUGUUGUUACCGUGGUUGGCGCUAAGUAUGCGUGAGCUCCAUUUGGCCGUGUGUUUCCUUGUGGAUAUGGAUCACGUGUGAGCUAUUCCGAACCGUGUAUUUAGUAUGCUAUCAUGGUCGGACUAGAUGGAGGUUGCUAUCGUGGUGGAUACUAAAUAUGCAUGAGCUAGUUUUGGCUGCAUGAUUCCUUGGUCAUGUGUGAGCUAUCUUUGACCGUAUAUUUAGACGCCUUGCCAUCAUUGGUUUGGGUACAGGUAGCGGUUAAGGACCAAGCAUUGGUUAUGCUUUCCUAUCAUUGAUUGUAGUUUCUCAUUCUUGUUGUAUUAUCUACUUAUGUGAUCUAUUGCAUUAUUGGGUGAUUAGAAGAAGCAAUAGUCACGAUGAGAAUUUGAGUUUGAGAGGUCUUUUAUUAGAUUGUAAUUUUUUUGUAACUAGUUCGUAGUUGAAUAUAAACUCUGAAUAAGAUUUUUGAAUUGUCUGGAUGAGUGUGUGGUGAGACAAACUCGAUGUUAUUUAAGUUUGAAAAGCAUAGAAGUGUGAUUUUCUUCUAUUUUUUCAGGUGUGGUUAAUCCAUUUUUAAGGGGAGACACUGUUGAAUUUUUUUUAGAAUUUUUGGAAAGAAUUUUAUCAAUCUUACAUUUGAAUAGGAUUGUUUUAAGGAGUAGAUUCACACCACGAUCUAGGUUAGAGGAGAAAACUUAGAACGAUGUGUGACAAAAAUCCUCAACAAGCAUGGAUAAAAAGAAAACCACCCAUUCAUCAUCUGAGAGUAUUUGGAUGUGACUUAUGUGCAUAUACCUUAUCAAAAGCUUAAAUAGUGUGGUAAGCUUAAUGAUAAAAGUGAGAGGCAUAUUUUCGUUGGCUAUGAUGCAAGCUCAAAAGGCUAGAAACUAUAUAAUCUCAUUACAAAUAAGACGAUGGUUAGUAGAGAUGUUGUGUUUGAUGAUGAAGCAUCAUGGAAUUGGAAUGAUGAACCAGAAGAUUACAAGUUUUUUAUUUUUUUUUUCGAUGAUCCUGAUGAGCUAGUGACAUUGCUUCUCCAUCAACACCACCAAAAUUGCCGAAUUACUCCAUAACAAAACACACCUUCAUCAUCUACAAGUUCAAGUGAAGGGCCUUGUGACAUGAGAAGUUUAAGAGACAUAUAUGAUAAAAUUGAAGGUCAAAAGUUUUGCUAACCUUACUCUCUUUUGUCUAUUUGGUGACAGUGAACCUUUGAAUUUUGAAGAAGCUUUUCCAAAUGAAAAAUAGAAGAUUUCUAUGGAUGAAGAGAUAAAAGUUAUAAAGAAGAAAAAAGAUAUGUGGGAAUUUUCUACUCAUCCAAGUGGAAAGAAAGUAGUAGGUACCAAAUGGGCGUUCAAGAUAAAAAGAAAAGAAAAGAAAGGAGUUGAGAGAUACAAAACAAGAUCAGUUGAAAAAGGCUAUUCUCAAAGAAAAGACAUUGAUUAUGAUGAAUUAUUUACUCCCGUUACUCGUUUGAAGACCAUAAGAUUGUUAAUUGUGCUUGCUGCUCAAAGUAAUUGGAAGAUCUUUUAGA